UUCUUACAAUUUUAUAGGAAGCCACUUUGAUUUGAUAAUGGAGUAGGAUUCUGAACCGGCUAAGCCCUAAGGAUUUCUAAAUGAGAAAUUGAAAAUUGAUUUGACUACUGACCGGAGGGAAGGAGUUAGUGUGAAAUGUUCAAAUGAAACCAAGAAUAGAGGCUCUAGAAAAGUCCGGUCCAACUAUGUUUUUUUAAGGACAACUUUAACUUGCAGGAUUUGAUGGUUAGUAUGAUAAUCUCUUUAAGACAAUUUGACGACUCUCUAGGCUUGAACAAUGUUAGCGUCAGCAUGUUUUUCUUUAUUUAUUGUUUUCCUAAACAAUAUGCAAGGCACUCAUGAAGACCAGAAUAAAUCUAAUUGUGCGUUCUGUUUUUUCUAGGUUGGGGUUCAUUAUGGAGGAAAAUUCUAUGAAUUUGUGCCCUGGAAUGGUUCUGUGAGCUGGGAGAUCAGUCAAUGGGGUUACUGGCAUAUCUCUGCAGAGAACAAUCAAAAUAUGGUGGUCUCUUUACCUGCAACAUCAAAAUGUAGAAUUAGUAGCAACAGUUGAAGAACCUGGCACUCCCCUGAGAGCUCCAACGCAAGAAGCUGGACUAGUGACAGCAUGUAAAGAUACUUGCUAUGGUGAUCUGACGUUGCAGUUGUGG